AACGAACGCUGGCGGCAUGCCUAACACAUGCAAGUCGAACGAAACCUUCGGGUCUAGUGGCGCACGGGUGCGUAACGCGUGGGAACCAGCCCUUAGGUUCGGAAUACCUCCCCGAGAGGGAUGCUCAUAACGGAUGAUGUCUUCGGACCAAAGAUUUCUCGCCAUUGGAUGGGCCCGCGUUGGAUUCGCUAGUUGGUAGGGUAAAAGCCUAGCAAGGCGAUGAUCCAUGGCUGGUCUGAUAGGAUGAUUAGCCACACUGGGACUGAGACACGGACCAGACUCGGACGCAAGGGUGCAGAGGGGUAUAUUGGACGAUGGGCGAAGGCGUGAUCAAGCAAUGCGGCGGAAGUGAUGAAUGCGUUAGUGUUGUAAAGCCCUUUGACCCGGGAUGAUAAUGACGGUACCGGGUAAAUAAGCUCCGGCUAACUACGUG
rnacentral:rRNA from 1 species